CGCGUGUACUGGUCCGGCCGGGCCUUUCCUUCUGGACAUCCCCAUGCCCUUCACUGGGUGUGUGGGGGAACCAGGACUUUUACUUUGAAAAAAUUAGAGUGUUCAAAGCGCGCCUUUGCUCAAAUACUUUAGCAUGGAAUAAUAAAAUAAGACGUGCGGCCCUAUUUUGUUGGUUUCUAAGACCUCUGUAAUGAUUAAUAGGGAUACUCGGGGGCAUCAAUAUUCUUUUGUCAGAGGUAAAAUUCUUGGAUUUAUUGAACACUAACUACUGCAAAAGCUUUUGCCAAGGAUGUUUUCAUUAAUCAGUGAACAAAAGUUAGGGGAUCGAACACUAUCAUAUACCGUCAUACUCUUAACCGUACACUAUGCCCACUAGGAGAUCGGGAUAUGUUUCUUUCUUGACUCUCUCCGCCUCUUACGAGAAAUCAAAGUUUUUGUGCUCUGGGGGAGAGUAUGGUCACGGCGCUGACACUUAGAGAAUUUGAGGGAGGGGCACCACCGCGCGUGGACCCUGCCGCUUAAUUUCACUCAACACGGGAGAAACUCACCGUGUCCAUAUGAUAUAGAGAUUGACAUAUUGAGAGCUCUCUCGUGUUUUUCGUGUGGUGGUGCAUGGCCGUUUAGAGUUGGUGGAGUGAUUUGUCUUAAUAAUGAUGAUAACGAAGGCGACCUCAACCUGAAAAAUCGCCAGGCUAGCUUUGGCUGGUCGCCGGCUUGAUAGAGGGACGAUUGA
rnacentral:rRNA from 1 species